UACGAAGGGGGCUAGCGUUGCUCGGAAUCACUGGGCGUAAAGGGCGCGUAGGCGGCCGUUCAAGUCGGGGUGAAAGCCUGUGGCUCAACCACAGAAUGGCCCUCGAUACUGGAUGGCUCGAGACCGGAAGAGGUUGGUGGAACUGCGAGUGUAGAGGUGAAAUUCGUAGAUAUUCGCAAGAACACCAGUGGCGAAGGCGGCCAACUGGUCCGGUUCUGACGCUGAGGCGCGAAAGCGUGGGGAGCAAACAGGG
rnacentral:rRNA from 1 species